rnacentral:rRNA from 1 species
AAAGCUCGGGAUAACAGUGGGAAACCGCUGCUAAUACCGGAUGACUUUAACCUAUGGCAUCAUGGGUUGAAGAAAGAUUUAUCGCUUUAGGAUGGGCCCGCGUCCCAUUAGCUAGUUGGUGAGGUAACGGCUCACCAAGGCGACGAUGGGUAGCCGGCCUGAGAGGGUGAACGGCCACACUGGGACUGAGACACGGCCCAGACUCCUACGGGAGGCAGCAGUAGGGAAUAUUGCGCAAUGGAGGGAACUCUGACGCAGCGACGCCGCGUGAGCGAUGAAGGUUUUCGGAUCGUAAAGCUCU